rnacentral:ncRNA from 1 species
CGAAACGCAAUGAUCGGGAGUAGUAAGGAUACCUAUCGUCCAGAGAACUGUCGGUUCGGUGCGAGACAGUCGAUAGCUUCCCCAACUCACCCAUGAGCGGUAAGACUGAAUCCAGUAGGUCUUAACGGAUCACCCCCGUAAUCAGGUAAAAGAAGGUUCGUUUAUUUUCUCAAACCAACGAACGAAAAAGAGUGGUACCGCGAAGGCAAAACCUAUCGCCUCUUUG